GAGUCAUCAAAACGCCUCCAUGAAUUCGUACUCGCUACUAAUCGUCGCUCACCAUGUCACAGUGAAUGUGUUCCCGAGCAGUGUACACUCCGUCCGUCACAGCAUGGGAGUUGGUUGCACAAGAAGUAGGUAGCUUAUCCUUCGGGAGGGCGCUUACCACU
rnacentral:rRNA from 1 species